rnacentral:rRNA from 1 species
UACGAAGGGGGCUAGCGUUGUUCGGAAUUACUGGGCGUAAAGCGCGUGUAGGCGGGUCUUUAAGUCAGGGGUGAAAUGCCAAGGCUCAACCUUGGAACUGCCUUUGAUACUGGAGAUCUUGAGUCCGGGAGAGGCGCGUGGAAUUGCAGGUGUAGCGGUGAAAUGCGUAGAUAUCUGCAGGAACACCCGUGGCGAAAGCGGCGCGCUGGACCACUACUGACGCUGAGGAACGAAAGCUAGGGGAGCAAACAG